rnacentral:tRNA from 1 species
GCGCGCUUGUAGCUCAGCUGGAUAGAGCGACCGCCUCCUAAGCGGUAGGUCCCCGGUUCGAAUCCGGGCUCGCGCACCA